rnacentral:rRNA from 1 species
GAUGAACGCUGGCGGCGUGCCUAAUACAUGCAAGUCGAGCGAACAGACGAGGAGCUUGCUCCUCUGACGUUAGCGGCGGACGGGUGAGUAACACGUGGAUAACCUACCUAUAAGACUGGGAUAACUUCGGGAAACCGGAGCUAAUACCGGAUAAUAUAUUGAACCGCAUGGUUCAAUAGUGAAAGACGGUUUUGCUGUCACUUAUAGAUGGAUCCGCGCCGCAUUAGCUAGUUGGUAAGGUAACGGCUUACCAAGGCAACGAUGCGUAGCCGACCUGAGAGGGUGAUCGGCCACACUGGAACUGAGACACGGUCCAGACUCCUACGGGAGGCAGCAGUAGGGAAUCUUCCGCAAUGGGCGAAAGCUUGACGGAGCCACGCCGCGUGAGUGAUGAAGGUCUUCGGAUCGUAAAACUCUGUUAUUAGGGAAGAACAAAUGUGUAAGUAACUAUGCACGUCUUGACGGUACCUAAUCAGAAAGCCACGGCUAACUACGUG